UUCCAUUCCUGAGUUACUUAAUUUAGAAUAAUCAUCUCAUCUGGGGUAAAAUACUUAACCACAAGCCCUGCUGUCAGCCCGCAGUGGUCAGACAAUUACCAUGGGGCCCCUCUGCCAUGGACAUCCCAUCUAUGUUGGUCAACAUGUCCCCAACCUGAAUUCUUUUAUUGCUUUCCUAGAAGUCACACACUUAGACAAUAGUGUGUGUGUCUGUGUAAGUGUGUGUGUUUGUGAAGUGAAAAAAAGAGGUGGGUUGCCAGCUUCCCUCACAACAUCCUCCUGCCUUUUCUUCACCACUGUGUUGCACACCUGUGGUUUGGGUGGGACUGACCCUACCCAUAGCUCCAGGGAUGGGGAAGGAAGUGGAUCUAAACCCUUCCGGAUCUGCAUCUCUUGGUGUAUAGUGGUUGGCUGAGGUGGACACAUGACCAAGGCUGAUCCAAUCAGAGGGAAAUCAAAGACCCUUUCUCAUUGGUCAAGUGUGAGGGCGGGCUUUCCCCAUGAAACAAGCAGUCUGCAAACAGAAAGCCUCGUAUUGCUAAUGCUUCCAGGAGGGAAGCUGGUCUGAGUACUAGAAUUAUCUUGGAAUUUUUCUCAACAUUCAUUCCUCUGUGCACCUCAAGAAUUGCCAAAGGUUCGGGCUGGCAGUUAUUUGCUCAGAAUAGAUUCCAAGAAAUCGAAUCAUGAGAUCGAAGGAGAUCAACAAGUUUGUGGCUCUUGAGACACAAUGCCAAAUAUCCUUCUAGAGAGCUGGCAGAUAUCAGAAACCUCUUCUCAGCUUUAGAGAUGCUUUUCACACAGACAGAAGAUUUCCUCUCCACACCAGAGGCAGCAGGAUAAGAUGUACCAUCAGACCGCACUGGCUUACCGUGGUGACAAGAAAGAAGAGGCCCUGACUGGGUGAGCUUCUUUAUUUAGCAAUUAACCAAAGACAAAUAAACCACUUCUAACCUUUUUCUUGCUUGAAUAUGUAGAAAUUAAAUGCAUUCAUUAUCCUGAGAGGAUUAUGAGCUUCUUUUUCCUGCAGUGACUCAAAUAUUUAUUUGACUGUAUGCAUAUGCUUUGCAGGAAUAAAAAUCAGCAUCUUCCAACUAAACCAUUUCCAUUGCAUCUAUAAUAACAUCUCUAAAAAGUAAUUCCUGUCAUUUCCAUUCCAUUUAUUUAUUACUCAACCAAAUAUACCCCCCUUGAAGGGUAGUAUUCUCUUGGACUAGGGCAUGGGAUUCACAGUUCCUCAAAGUGGUAAAUGUGAUAAAUGUUUUAACAUAUAUGGGAAUCCCACAAAGAACUCUCACUUUGGUAUUAAAUCAUGGAGGAACAUCAGGGUAUCCAUCUGCACACCCUAUGAAAUAAGAUGCAUUGGGUAAGUCAGCCAGGUGCUUUGUUUAUGUGGCAUCUGGACGCUUGGAAACUUCUGGAUGAGUAAACACUUUCUUUUGGGUCGAAAAGGUUUGGCUUUAACAUGUCGUCUAGUGGAAACCAAUCUAGAAUCACCAUGUUCGACUUUUCUAGUCUUUUAUGGGUCCAGUAAACUCAAGUGAAGGAAUCUUCAGAAGUGGGUUAACUUGUCCAUUCUCUUGGUAGUUGGAAUUCUUUCCUAAAUGUCACAUAAGAUAUUUGGAUACAAAUGUGUAGAGGAGAAAUGAAGGGACAAAAGAAUUAACAUUUGUUGAUCUCCUGCCAUAUGUAAGACACUGUGAUAGAUCACAUGUAUAAUAAUUUCAAUUUGUCAUUCCAACCUGGUGAGGGAGGUAUUAAUGGCUUCAUUUAACAGAUGAGGAAACUGAGGUUAAGAGAUUUCCUCUCUGACCACAAUUAUUAAAGUAUAAGUAAACUUUCCCAAUCUCUGAUGAAAGAACCUAGGAUUAUAGUUGAGUGAGUCACCAAUGCCCCAAAUUAUGACAUAGCCCAUGAAGAAAGAUACACUAAUACUCUUCAAGGACAGCAGGGUUGGGGUGAGGCAUUUGUCACUCUGCCUGAGGAUGCAACAUUCUCACUUGCCCUGGCCCCUCAGCUCAGGGCGAGCCACAGCACAGCAGAAGAGCAGAACCGCCCCUCCUGGAAGUUCUAGGUUCUGAAUGUGUCCAAUAGGCCCAGAGGUGAGGGUCUACAGGCAGAUCAGGGAGUCUGAGAGACAGAAGCCCCUUGCUUCAGCAGCAUUGGAUUUAAGGACAGAGCCUUAAAUCAGGAAGAAGUUCUCUCUCCAACCAUAUACAGGGGAAACUAAAGACUUUGCCUGGCAACCUAGAGACUUUAUCAUCGCAGGAGAUGGAUAACCAAGAUGAAACCAUGAGACAACAUUCUGGGCCAAGCAGUGAGCAAUGAGGAGACCCAGACCCCAGGUUCCUGGCUGUGUCUUUGGUGAGUAGAGACAUAUCCACAGCCACAGUGGAAGCAGCUGCAAUAGAAAGGAUUUAAGACAACAGUGAGGUUUCUGACUGGGGCUCACCUUAGCCUUGGGGCAGAGGGGUAUCUGUCACUUUCCUUAAUCUUCUCUCAGGCUAAAAAGAAGAGGCAUUAAGACAGAUUCCCUGAGGAUACUUCAAGAACCCUGAAAUUGCCUUGCUCACAUACCACCACACUAGAGAUGUUUCAGAAAAGCAGCUUCCCUUUUGGUGCCUCCAAUCCAGAAUGACUCCAGGACCCACCGAGAGGUGAGGCAGAGAGGACAAGGCAAGGACAAAACUUCUUUGGACUAUUUUCUGCACAUCCCCAGCAGAGAUUGAUGAAUGCCUCUGAGUCAGCAAAAUCUCCAGUGGUGAAACAGAAAGCGUACACUCCACACAUUCAAGCAGCCAGGCCAGCCCACACGGAGAAGAGGAUGUUCACAUCCAGCCUGUUCAGUGGACCCCAUGGGGCAUUUCAAAGGCUAUUACAUUUCCAGGACCUUCUAUCACACCCCCUUUCUUCCAUCCCUGCUAAUAUUUGUGACUUUCCAGCUUUCUUCUCUGAAAUUAAAAUCAAACCUUUGCAAAGUGAAAAUCAGUUCAUCUGAGCUAGUGCUGGUUAAGAUUUACAAAAUAAAGAGGAAUUUUACACCCACUGGCCUCAAAGAGUCAUUUUAGCUGGCAGUCAUGAGCUCCACCGAGGACCCGAGUGUUCUCUGUCUGACCGGGUUGCUGGCGGAAGGGAUGCGGGAAAUUCUUUGUGCUCUGUUGCUCUGCUCCAUACUUAGUGACGGAUCAUCUCUUGGGCCCCUGACACAAAGGAUGGCAAUGUCACCACUCAGCUCUCUGGCAGCCUAUUCUAGGCUGACAGUCUAGCCUCAGGGAUCACUGCAGACCCCUGCAGUUUCCCCUUCCAGUGAAAUCAGCUGGGUGCUGAUUUUACACCCACUGGCUGAGACACAAACAACAUCCCUCUCUCGCCUACAGAGAUGGGCUGGCACUGACUCCAGCACCCUGAGAGGCCAAUGCCAACUUCACACUUGCAUCUUAUUGGAGUCAUGCAUUUUGCAUAGAAGUUGUUUAAGGUUAUAUGUGUAAUGCGCACCUGGAAAAGUCUUCCAGGGGUGGGACAGCAAGAUAAAGGAGAAGCAACAGACUUUGAAGUCAGAUAUAACUGGAUUUUUGAAAUCCUAGAUCUGUCACUGACUAGUUUUUCCAAGUUACUUUACCCUCUUAGAGCCUAUGUUUUCUCAUCUGUUAAACAGUGAAAAUCAUGUUUGUCUUUCAGGUCAUUAUAAAGGUUAGAAAUGGUAUAAUGUAAGAUACCUAGUACAAAAUGGAUGCAAAGAAAGAGCUUAUCAGAUUAUAACUCUUGGUAGUGGUGAUAGUAGUAUAAUUAUUAUAAUUUGAUUUUAAAUUAGAAAAAAAGGAACAGGUUAUAUAAGACAGUGGGAAACAACUGAUUUAUUCGUAUCAGUUUCUUUUGCUUUCUAUGAAGAAGUCUGUAUGGGAGAAAAUAAACCUUUCAACUUCAUUCAUAUAAAGGAACCCACAGUAACAAUGAGUGGCAACACAGGACAGGAAAAUCACAUUAGGAACUGGGGUCCAGCACUCAUGCCUUAAGGUCUCUGAGCAACACUCCCCUCAUUGCAUAAAUACAGACUAUCACUCUACUCAUCUCACAGAGUCAUUUAAAGACCAAAUAAGAGCGAUUAGGAAAACCAUUGAAAAUCUGUAAAGCACUGUACAAGAUUUUUUAAUGCAGUUCCAUUUUUUCAUGCUACCGAAGAUAUGUGCAAAUAUUCCAAACAUCAUCGCAAAUACAGGAAGGAAGCCAUGUGGGGAUCGUUCCUACUUUUUAAUACAGCUCGAUAAGCAAAAACCCUGCCAUCUCAGCAGCUCCUACUGAUACACAGUCUUUGUCUUAAGCAAAAACCCUGACAUCUCAGCAGCUCCUACUGAUACACAGUCUUUGUAUAAACUACGUGGUUCUCUACUCUGGCUGUACAAUAGUGUCACUAUGGAGCUAUUAAAAAAUGUAUAUGCCCAUGACUCAUCCAUAGACAUUCUGGCUUAGUUAUUCCAGAGCACAGCCUGUGCUUUUUAUCAGCAGCUCCUCAGGUGAUUCUAUUGGGCAGUUAGGAUUAAGGACAUUCAUCUAGUGCAGUGGUUGUCAACUGGAAGUGAUUUUUCCCCCCAGGGGACAUUUAGCAAUACCUGGAGACGUUUCUGGUUGUCACAACUGGGAGCAGGGUGCUACAGGCAUCUAGUGAGUGGAGGCUAGGGAUGCUGCUAGGCAUCCUACAAUGGAAAGGACGGCCCCUCAGAACAUGGAAUUGUCCAGCCCAACAUGUCAAUAGUGCAUGACUUUGAGAGGGGCCACACAGAGGACUCAUUCUAAAGAAAGUCAGGAACUGCCCAUACUGCACAAACAUAGCUCAGCAAUAUUUCUGGUUUCACAUGCUCUCCAGAACCUUGUCAUUUCCUCCAUUAGAAGAUGGAGUCUAUUUCUUCUUUUUGAAAUUGAACUGGUCUUUAUUACUAUCUCAACAAAUAGAAUUCAAGGAAAUAACAUGCCUGACUUCUGAGGCAAAGUCACAAAAGGCUUCUGCUUGUCUUUCUCUCUCAAGAUCUCUUUCCAAGCCAACAGGUUAAAAAAAAAAAUCCAGCUACCCUGGAGCUGCCAUGUUGGAAAGAUCACAUUUAAAGAUCGUAUGGAGAUAGAGAGAGAUGCUCAAAAGAAGCCCCAGCCAUCUGCGUCUUCCAGUUUGGGUACCAGAUAUUUGUGUGGGUGAGCCCUCCGAUGAUUCCAGCCCCCACCUUCCAGCUGCCCCAGGUAAUGUCAAGUGGAAUAGGGGCCAGGUGUCUGCCCAGACUGCAGAUUUAUAAGCAAAGUAAAUGGCAUGGAGGUUUUGGUUCUACGGGGAGUAUAUGUUUGCUUGCUUGUUUGAUAUGUAAUAAUAGAUAACCAGAAUAAAGUCCUUUAUGAUUCUAUAAAAGAUCCAUCUCUAAACCCUCUUCAUUGGGCCACCAAGGUCAAAAGCUUACAUAUACUUGUACAGGGAAUGAGUUUUAUAUAUUUCCAGCCCACUCCCAACUCUGCAACUUCCACCUCCAUUCUCAGUAAAUAUGCCAGUUUACUUAAGAAUUCCUCCCAUUCAUUUCUGUUGUGCUUUCUGUGGUCUGGAAGAUCAUAUUUUCCAACAUGUGGGUCAAGGGUCUUAUGGGUCUUUUUUGUUCUUGGUGAAGUUUUCCAUUGUGGAAGCAAAUAUAAGCAUAAAUAUAGGUGAAUCAAUACAAAUAAAUAAAUAACAUAUGUUUAUUCUGAUAAUUAGCAAAUUGGUAGUUACUAAACAUCUUUCAUUUACCAGGUCUUCCAGAAGGGUGCACUUAACUGUGGAGGAAAAACAACUCAUUAAAGUCUUUGAAGGUGACAUUGCCAAGGGAGAUAUUCUGCAGGCAAAGUGGACAGAAUGUCCUGAGACAUCCUUGCUUUAAUCAAUGUUGAAACAACUGAGAAGCUAAAACAUCAGGUUUUGCAGUUGGAUCAGGGGAGCAGGAUGAGUACUGACUAAGCACCUACUGUGUGCAGAUCCUGAGCAAAGUAGUUACGGCAGUUAGCAGGGGUAAUUGCAUUUAAUUUUCCCAACAUCCUUGGGAGCUAAGAACCAUCCUCUACUGCCCGGUCUUCUCUCUCUCCCCCUCUCUAUCUCUGCAUCUCCCUCUCUUUCCAGACAUUCCUGUUUAUUCCCAGUAAAACUAAAAUCUACACAAGCUCCACAUAUCUUUGAUUAAAUCUUGAUCAAAAUCCAAUAACUCAGAAACUGUAAGUUUCAACAAGGAGUUAAUAAUUUAAAGUUGUUGACACAAGUGCUUUUGAGACUGGUAGUAGGCUCUCUCCUCUGAUGUUGGAAUAAGCUGAAAGGCACAAAAAAUAGCAGUAGACAAGUGGGGAAAGUGUCACAUUCAAAGCUAAAUCCAUACUGAAUCUGUAUCUCACAUGAUAAAAUGAGUGUUUUGUGUGCAAGAACUUCUCCUCGAGAGAUUUUUUUUUUAACCCCCGGUGGUUUAAUUGUGAAAUUGCUCUUAAUCUUGAGAGUACGGAGCUUGCUUUUUGGUUGGCUGGCUAGGUGGUUGGUUGGUUGACUGUAGAAAACUUAUUUCUAUUCAUUGUGUGUUAGUUACAGAAAAGUGAAUUUACUCAUAAGCUUUGUAAUAGUCAACCCUCUGACUAUGAAUUCACCGACUGUAUUAUAAUAAACGCAGCCCACUGUGUAAAGAUGUAAAUCUCUUGAUGUUAAGAAGGGUUUUCUUCCUUGCAUAAACUGUACAAGAAAAUAAUGGUGCUUAUAGCAGAAAUGUCUUUAAGGCCUACAUAAAAACCUCAAUUUUUCAAAACACUCAAAUGGCUUCUACUAUUACCUCUAAAGACUAGUUUAGGAAUUGCAUAUUUCUUUCUCCAAUAACAUUCUAUGGGUUCUCCCACCUCCAGUCUCUCUCCUCAAUGAUCCUUUCUUCACCAAUGUGGUGAUUCUGCUAGUUGCUCAGGAUGUCUCUUCUAAUUAUGCAUUCCUGAACUGGGGGGAAAACCACAGAACAAGCUUGAGGACCCGCUGUGAGAUGGACCUGAGCUAAAACUCCAUUGAUCACCUAACCACCAUAAGCUCCUACUCUGACUGAUGGGCCACAGUGACGUUUUCAGUCUCUUGGAAUUAGUGUCAGUUCAGAGCAAGUAUCUUCAAAAGGUCUGACUAUUUUCCUUUCCCCAAUGCACAGUCACCUAGUAAAAGCCCACAGGUCUCUUUGGGGAACACUGAGAGAAAGAUUAAUGGUAUAAAUUUUUGGCAGUGUACUGGGGUCCCUCCUCAAGGAGAUUCAGCCUCCCUUUCAUUCAAGGGUUUCUGGGUCUGUAAACUGGCUCAAGUCUGGGAAUUGACCAAGAAGCCAUGAUGCUCUGUUUCUAUAUUUCAUGAGACUUCUGUUCACUUGACCUAGAAGUUUACUCUUAUACAGAUCAAGUAAGAGUUUAGUAGACCUCCUAUUUAUUUCAUUUCUAAAAAUGCCACAAUGAACUAGCCAGUACCACAGGUCUACAUAGGUCAGACUGUUCUGAUUUCUGCUUUGCCUCUGCUGUCCACUACAAUAACCACACUCCCCUUGCCUUUGGUGACUGAGUGCCACCACUUGGCCCUUGCACCCUGGGAUCCAAUUAUUCCCACUGCAUUUAGGUAUUGCAACUCCAUGACUACAGUCCACACUGUAAGGUCUGUUCCAGAGAGCACAGUAAUCACAGAUCUCUUUAAGAACACUGAGGAUCCCCUCAAAAAACUCACAUAGUCAUGGUAAAAGAUGUGUCCUCUGAACCCUCCAAGUGAGGGUGAGUAAGUCUGAAAUGAAAAAUCCGCUCUAACAUGCAAAUAUUCCUAGGCCUUUCAAUCUCUUCCUCUACCAUAAACCAACAUAGGUCUGGCAUUUCGACUUCAUUUACUAUGGGCCACAUUUUGGUCUACAUUUCAGCCAACCAAUGAAACAAAUAGUAGAGUUUUUUCCAGCCCUACAAGCUGCAACAUUAAAUGCAGAAUUUCUGCUUAGUGGGCCCAAAUCAAUAAAUGUAGCCUGACCCAACUUUAUGUUUCUUCCACCAGUAUCCCACACCCUUAAUAUCCAUUCCUACAUAUACUUUCCAGAAAAAUCAAGUCAUUCUUUUGGAGUGUAACCACCUCUUCAUGGUCCACACGUUGUGCCUCACCUUUAGAGGCCUGAUGGGACUUGACUCUAGUUACAGGUCUAGAAGCAAAGAGGGGUGGAGGGGUUGGGUCCUGAUGAGAAUCAGCAAGUCUUGCAAGGCAACUGCCUCAGGAGAGGCAAUUACAGACUCCUCAGUCAAUGCAAAGUUCAUCUCCUCUGAAUGGGGGCAGAGAGGAUGCUUAUAAUGGCAAAGAAGACUCAUCAGAAUGUAGGGGCUCAGUGUUCCCAAUUUCAUCAGUCUUCCCACACAUCCCCAUGCUAACUUUCAGGAUCUCAUUCCUUCCCAAUCAAUGUUCUCACUUUAACAGAAGACACCCUGCAAGGCUGGGAAUUCAAUUUUCACUAUAAUUCAGCCACUCACAGAAUGAGAUUCUGGGUUUGGUUUUCAGCAAUCUCAGGAGAUAAGGAUCUCUUUCAAGGGAAACACAGAAGCUUUCAAAUCCUUUAUGCAGCAUUUGAACUGGGAAUUUGAAUCCUUGGGCUCAUUCAUUUCUUUCCCCCACUUUGUCCAGUAACAUUAGUGCUAACAGCCAAAGUCUUUAUACUCAUUAGUUUCACAAAAAUGUUUGAAGGUAUCAUGUACUCGGUCACCCAGAUUCUUGCCUAUUAUAAGUAUUUGAUUAGAUGUAUCUAGUGAUAUUUUAUGUAUCUUCAUUGCCACGUCACAACAUGGACUAUCAGUGCUCUCUUUACUCCUAGAAAUAGAGUCAAAAGGGUCUUUAACGUCGAAUCAACAUAAGUGCCCAUCAACGGGGGAUUGGAUAAAGAAAAGGUGGUGCAUAUACACCAUGGAAUACUACACAGCCAUAAAC
rnacentral:lncRNA from 1 species